CCCAGAACCUCCCGUCGCAGAGUUACUAUGAAGGGGGUAGAAAUGCAAGGGGGGAAACGGACCCUCCGGGCGUGUAGGUCGCUGGGGUUUUCAGAUAUCUGACCCCUGGGAUUGGGGCGGGAGCUGCCCUUUGAAAUCAUAUGAAAUCGGGGUGCAAACUUCAACAAUAAUAAUAAUAUACCCCGCCCAUCUGGCUGCGUUUCCCCAGCCACUCUGGGUGGCUCCCAACAGAAUAUUAAAAACCCCACAGUUGAUCACAAGAUGCAGCCCAUGCACGCCAUUUGAAUGGCAAUAGCCAUCAACUUGGGGGGGGGCCUCACAUAUUUUAUUGGGGGGCCAAGGACCCCUAGUUGGCUCCUAUGCAUGAAAUCAUAUGAAGGGACAGGCUGCUUUAACCUGGCUGGCAGCAGUCUUUGCACUGGCGAAGUCCUGGCAGACUGGAGGAGGGCAAAUGUUGUCCCUAUUUUCAAAAAGAGGGAAAGAGAGGACCCAAAUAAUUACUGCCCAGUCAGUCUGACAUCAAUACCAGGGAAGAUUCUGGAGCAGAUCAUUAAGCAAACAGUCUGUGAGCACCUAGAAAGGAAUGCUGUGAUCACCAAUAGUCAGCAUGGAUUUCUGAAAAAUAAGUCAUGUCAGACUAACCUGAUCUCGUUUUUUGACAGAAUUACAAGCCUGGUAGAUGAAGGGAACACAGUGGAUGUAGCCUACCUUGAUCUCAGCAAGGCAUUUGACAAGGUGCCCCAUGAUAUUCUCGUAAAGAAGCUGGUAAAAUGCGGUCUUGACUAUGCUACCACUCAGUGGAUUUGUAACUGGCUGACUGACCGAACCCAAAGGGUGCUCAUCAAUGGUUCCUCUUCAUCCUGGAGAAGAGUGACUAGUAGGGUGCCACAGGGUUCUGUCUUGGGCCCGGUCUUAUUCAACAUCUUUAUCAACGACUUGGAUGAUGGACUCAAGGGCAUCCUGAUCAAAUUUGCAGAUGACACCAAACUGGGAGGGGUGGCUAACACCCCAGAGGACAGGAUCAC